ncrna:Pseudomonas pseudoalcaligenes CECT 5344 narK RNA
GGCUCGGCUCUUGCUUGUUCCCUCUCAGCAGGUAGCCAACGGCGGCCACCUCCCUCACGACAACGACGUCGC